rnacentral:misc_RNA from 1 species
GGACAAGUGAACAACUAGAAUCACAGUAUCAUAGCUCAACACCACCUGCUUUUUAUCCAGUGGUGUCUUUCCACACAAUGCUUACAUACCGGUCUUUUCAAUAAUUUACAAGAUCUUUUUAUCUAAAGAGGAUUCAUAGUCGAAUCAUGUAAAUCUUAUUUUUGUUUUUUUUUUCUUCCCUACAUAUUGUGCGCUGUGUGUCCUAAAUUUGUGCACCUGUUACAACAGUCUCAAUGUCAUAAUCUAUUGUAUUCUAUCUAGUGAUGCAAAAAGAAAUAGAUUAUGAAAAUUAUACUGUUGAGGCAAACUAUAAUAAGAAGAAGAAGAAUACAAACUCUAGCACACAUUGUGGAGAGACGUAUUUAAGCAAUGGAAGAAGAUGUAUAUGUUGUCUAGACCACGGGUAUAUGUUACCUAUGAGCCCAACAGUGAGCAUCAGGGAUGAGGAAUGAAUAGCUGCAAGAAUUUUGCACUGAUUCGCAGUUGAGACCUUGUUGACCUUCUCUGCACUCAUUGGCAAACAAUCCAGGAGGAUAUUUUCCAUAGAUGUUGAUGUAGCUGAACAUAGCUUCUGCAUAGUAAUUUAUUCUGUCGUUUAAGGCAUCAACAUAAGGGCAAGCAAAUUGCCUUAAAGCAUCACAACAAUUCUUGACGGGCUAUUAAGGUCCCUUGCAAUUCUUUGCGAGGAUAGUGUAGUCCAUAUUCUCAAAACUCACAUUGCAGGCUGAAGUUUGCCACCUGAAGUCAAAGGUCAUCUGGGCAUCAUUGGCUCUCUCCAAAAGCUUUAAUCCUCAACAACUUCCAAACUUUGAUCCUGUAAGGUUAUAGACCCGUCAACAGUCUCUUUGGUAUCAACUUUUCCUGGAGGAGAACGAGAAGAAGAGUUAAAAAGGUGUUGCGAAUGCUACCAGGUGGAACGACAUCAAAAAAUGUAAACGACCGCGUGUUUAAAAAGGCGUUUAAAAUGGACAACCCAAACGAUUGAGCUUGGUAAACCUCACCUGAUUAUUCAACGACGAGUCGUUUUAAAACAGUUUACACAGAUGUAAGAACAAUAAAGUAAUCAGAGAGACGGAGAAGAUGCAGCUCUUUUAGCUAACCUUCAAAACCCUAACGUCUCCUCAUCUUCAUCCCUCUCGCAUGUUCUUUCCUCUUCAAUUUCCAUAUCUAACUUUCAUUCCUUCACCGAUCUAUCGCUUCUCUUCUGACCAUAAAUAAGCUAUACGAUCUUACCAUCUCCUAAUUCCACUCUCCAAUGGCUUCCACCAUGCCUGCUUACUCUUCAUUGGCUUUCUCUCCCUCUUCGCUCUUGAAAUCCUCCGUCCCGCAUCCCUCGCCUGCGUUUCCUUCCUCCGGCCGCUGCUUGCUGACUUCCUUCCCGGAAUUCAGAGGCUUGAGGAUCCAAAUGCCUUCUUCAAAGUUGUCCUUGCUCUCCACCGGUGCGAAAAAUUCUAGGGUUUCUCGACGGAACGUAGGGCGCGUUGUCUGUGAAGCUCAAGAGACUACGAUCGAUAUUCCUGCUGUGACUGAUGCAACAUGGCAGUCGCUUGUCCUCAAGGCUGAUGGGCCUGUGCUGGUUGAGUUUUGGGCUCCUUGGUGUGGGCCAUGCCGAAUGAUUCAUCCAGUAGUCGCUGAAUUAUCAAUGCAAUAUACUGGAAAACUGAAGUUCUUGAAAUUGAAUACUGAUGAAAGUCCUUCUAUUGCAAGCAAAUAUGGAAUACGAAGCAUUCCAACAAUCAUGAUCUUCAACAAUGGUGAGAAGAAAGAUGCAGUCAUUGGUGCUGUGCCGAAAACGACACUGACUACCACCAUUGAGAAAUUCUUGUAGAGGAAGGUUAGAUACUGUUUUCCAAGAUCUUCUGUUCUAUAUUGUUUGAUGCUCUCUUUUCUUUCCCUUUUUCCUACGAGUUUGAAAAAGUAAUCUUGCAUAAUUAUGGAUCCUGCACAUUUUCUAUCUUUUGUGACAUUUUUACUUCAAUUGACAAUAAGUGUUUUCUUGCCUGAAGAUUUACUUCGAAUGCCUGGCAGCUUUGUCAAUGAAUGGUUUGAAAACUUGAGUUCCUUAGUCCCCAAUGUGGACACAUGUCCCAUCUUCUAAAGCUUUAUCGAAUUUUCUUUGCUUGAUUUUUCCAAAUCAGCGCUGUAGGAUUUUUCACUAAUUUUUCUAGCAGGUUCAUUGAAAUUGAAUGUUGACUCCAUGUUGGUCCGCCAAAGCUACUGCUGCUUGUAUUGCUGUCAAUUGCCGGCAUUGAAGAUAGAAUGCUGGUUAGGAAUGGCGUUUGAAAUUCCUAAAGGACUUAAGAUUCAUCUACUUUUUAUUUUUUUUAUUUUUUUGGUUUCACCUAGGUCAUUUCUACUUUAUUUUCUUGCUUUUGGUGGAGAUUUUGCUUUCUUGAUUUUGAUGGGUUGUUCUUGUUCAAUUAAUGCAACUGGCUUUUUCCAGGAAGUUGGAUCCCAUGUUUUCAAUUUUCUUUUGCUUUACUUUGUUUUCCACAAGCCACGGUAGUGGAGAAGGGAUUAAUGUUCAAAUUUUAACUUGUAUUUAAUGGAGAUGUUUAAUUUAAUUUAAAAA